UCCAUCCGUUCAUUAUUUGCAUAAGAUCGUAAAAUUCUAUUGGACAUUCUCUGCUUGUGACACCAAGGAUGUUGGUACCCCAUUGGUCCAUUGCACGUGUGUCUCGCUCACGUGCUUCCGGUUAAGGAAAAAAGUAUGUGAGGGGCACCGUGAUUUUAGAAAGAGUUUGUUAAGCGCGAGCUGUCACACGGGGCAGCGAGUCAGGGACUGCGGAGCAUCGCGCGAUGCAUUGUCUGACAUGAAUAACGGGUGUGUUUUGACACUUGAAACGCCUUGAUCGCGGAAAGCAUUCCGAUGCUAUGACAGUCGCUUCUCUUAAGGUAUUUCGCAUACCUUUAUUUUAACACUAUAGACUGCAUUCUUGUUUGUCGCUAUCCGGAUACUGCUCUUUGCAACAAGUGGAAUUUUGGUGUGCAGACCACGAUCCAGCUGUCAUGGAGGAGCAAAAGGAUCAAAAUAGUCGUGAUUCGACUGAGUCUGAGAGCGUCUCGCUCUCGCCCAAUAUACCAUCUCCUCCGAUUUUACCUCACCAGGCUGCGCAGCAAGCCCACAGAACCACGAACUUUUUCAUCGACAAUAUUCUAAGGCCAGAUUUCGGCUGCAAGAAAGAUCUUGGGAGUAGGGACCGGGCGCAAACCUCGGGUAGGGAGAAUGUUAACCCUAUGGUGAUAAGGCCGUCGCAUAAUAGCAGCCUUUGCCAGGAUUCAAACUGCAGUAGUGACAGCACUUCUUCGUCCUCGUCUUCUUCGCCAUCCUCAAAGCAGACCUCUGCAAAGCUUGUCGAAGGAAAUGGAACUACCACAGCAAGGUACGGGGAGAAUACGACGUCGAUAAUGGUGGUGAACACUAACGGGGGAACUUCGCAAGCGAAAGAAUCGCAGCCUUUACUAUGGCCUGCGUGGGUGUACUGCACCAGGUACUCGGACAGACCUUCAUCUGGCCCAAGGACACGAAAAUUGAAAAAGAAGAAAAGCGAGAAGGAAGACAAGCGACCGAGAACCGCUUUCACGGCUGAACAGCUGCAGAGACUUAAAGCCGAGUUUCAGGCGAAUCGGUACAUUACGGAGCAGCGGAGACAGUCGCUGGCCCAGGAACUCAACCUCAAUGAGUCGCAAAUAAAAAUCUGGUUCCAGAAUAAGAGGGCCAAAAUCAAAAAGGCCACUGGCUAUAAGAACGGCCUCGCUCUUCAGCUCAUGGCUCAAGGACUCUACAACCAUUCCACAACAACAGUUCAAGAAGAUAAAGACGAUAGCGAAUAAAAAUGGCCCGGCUUCUCUCCUAAAAAGGGCAUGGACGCUGACGCCGACAAAAGUGAUUUUUCAUAUUUUUAUGAAUCAAAUGAAAAGGAAAUGUCUUCGAAUUCUGCGAAACGAAGAUACGAUAUUUAAGCGAAUUUCUGUUUAUCAUACAGUAUAUGGACAUGCAUCUAAAUACGAACACUAUGAAAAUUUAUAUAUAGCCAAAACUGUAAGAUGUGUAUAUUUAAUUCCAGAUGACAGAACCAGCUCAAGACACUGAGUGAUUUCUGUGGCAGCCGCACAACACUGAGCGUGAAGAAGUCCUUUUACACACAGCCUGCGAGAUGUGUGGUCUGAAGGGCGCUAUCCCAUUCCUCUCUCUUUGUCUUGUUUUGGUGACGCAUUUGUGGUGAAGAAUCAAGAGAAAUCUCCUGCGGCGUGUUUAAGAAGCCGAGACGGCUGGUUAAAAACACGUUUCCAUCGAGCAGUCGCAGAUGUCUAUGAAAAAAAGAGAUCCUGACACACACAGCUGCUGCCCAAAUCUGCCUUGAAUCAACGAACGAACUGUGUCACACACUUCGCACAUUCCUUUCAAAGUCACUUUUAUGCAUGUGAACACUGUUUGAUCAGAACAAAAUUCCAAAGGUAUAAUUUUUGACUGAAAAAAUGAAUAAAUACAUUUUGUUUGAUGUUUUAGACAGCGUUGGAGGACAUGAGAAUGGAAAUACUUGAGGAGGAGGCCCGGAUGUCAGUUCCCCCUCUUGCCCUCUACAGAAUGGACCUCCAAGCAGCGUGACAUUGCUCCAUCAAUCUGUGUUUAAAGAGCAGUGUGUGUCCGCAGUGCAGCAUGUUAACAGGCAUCUCUCUCUUUUUCUCUUCGCGUUCAUGUUCAGGCACACACAAAAACCCACAUAUGCUUCCAUGCUCAUCUAUUUGUGUUUCCAUCACUCUUUUUCAUGCACACACACACACACAGAUCUCCCUCGCUCUCUUAUCUUUUACCAGAAGCCUCGUGAACACAAGAGCACUUGUCAGCCAUCACUAUAUCAAACCAAACAUUCGGCUGCUGUCACUCAAAGAGCAGUAUCUAUCUGUCCAUUGCAAUGAGAUCUACUUGUAGCUUUCACAUCAGAUCUCCAUUCUACAUCUGUUUUAAAGGUCACUGGGGUUAGAGCCAUGACACAGUGAACUUUCACUGAGAUCCAACUUCAAAUUUGGCCCAAAUUCAUACCCUGAAUCCUUUCCCCCUCUCUCUUCCUCUACUUUUCUGUCCUCAUUUUAUAUGGGCAUAAAAAUGACUCAAUACUCCAUGUUGAUAUAUGUGUAGGACAUUUAUUAUAGAUAACAAAAGAUUAAACCAAGUGGCAUUUACUUCAAAGCAAAAUAUCAAAAGCAUAUUUGUUUCACCAAAGCAUUUCAUAAAACAAAGCUUUUUUCCGGUACAUUCUGGUUCUCAGACUUUCAGAGAUAAUAUAAAAUACACUUGAGGACACCUAUGUUAACCUAUGCUUCAGUCAGUUGGUGAGAACUUGAGGUCAAGUUGGUUAACAGUAAUUGCAAGCAUUGCUUAUAUAUAUAUAAUAAAAAAAAAAAAAAAAAAAGAA